rnacentral:miRNA from 1 species
AACUACUAUUCAUGUGAAUAGUGGCUGCCCUAACUCCCCCUUUGCCAUGGCUAAGAGCAUCUCCACCUAUAAGGGCUAAGGCAAGGGCAAGGGUUGCCACUAUUCACGUGAAUA